CAGUAGCCGCGGGAAUACGUAGGGUGCGAGCGUUAAUCGGAAUUACUGGGCGUAAAGCGUGCGCAGGCGGUUGUGUAAGACAGGUGUGAAAUCCCCGGGCUUAACCUGGGAACUGCGCUUGUGACUGCACAGCUAGAGUAUGGCAGAGGGGGGUGGAAUUCCACAUGUAGCAGUGAAAUGCGUAGAGAUGUGGAGGAACACCGAUGGCGAAGGCAGCCCCCUGGGCCAAUACUGACGCUCAUGCACGAAAGCGUGGGGAGCAAACAGGAUUAGAUACCCGUGUAGUCCCUGUCUCUUAUAA
rnacentral:rRNA from 1 species